CCUGGCUUUGUGCCCCAUGUGGCUGGCAGGUUAGGCUACUGGGGACCAUAGUGGAUGGUAUAGAGCACAGGCUUGCUAUAUAGAGCUGUGCACAACCCCUUAAGGUUUACAGGCACAGCCGGCAGUGUUACCACUUAUACUCAUCCCCCCCUUUUUGUUUGUUCAGAUGAUUGCUUGCAGCGCUCUGUUUUAUCAUAUUGACCAAUGGAGCACCUCUUGUGAGGUAACUCAGUUGGUGAGUUCCCUGACUACAGGGGUACUCAUUAUGCAAGUUCACU